AUGAGUUCGGAACCGUUUUGGGUCGGUGAACGGUUUCGGAUCAGAACUUUAACCGCAUGUUUUCCCGCAGGAUCCACCAGGCUGCUGACCCUUCCUGCUAUCCACCAAGUCGGGUCCAGCCUCCGACGGACCUACACCCUAAAGGUCAGAGGUCGCCGCGGUUCGGUGCAGCUCUUCUCCAACUCCACAGAGUUGCACGUGGACCCCCGGGGCGUCUCCACCUUCAUCCAGACCAACCAGCCGCGCUACCUGCCGGGCCAGGUGGUGAAGAUCCGAACCGUGUCGGUUCGCUCCGACGGGAAGCCCUGUUCCGAACCGGCAGACGUUCUGAUCCGAGAUCCGAGAGGAAGCCUUCUGAGACAGUGGCUGGACAAAGACGGCGUCCUGGGUGUGGUGUCCACGGAGUUCCAGCUGUCGGAGAACCCCCCGCUGGGCGAGUGGAGCAUCAUGGCCACCGUAGAGGGCAUUUCCAGUGUGAAGCAUUUCAGUGUGGAUUAUUAUGUUCUGCCCAAGUUUGAGGUCCUAGUCAAAGUCCCGGAGGUGGUGCACCGGGAGGACGUCCUGAAAGGCUUCGUCUCUGCAAAGUACUUCUACGGCAAACCCGUCCGCGGACGCAUGGUCGUCACCUUCAGCCACCGUUACCACGGCGACGAUCAGACUCACAGUCUGGAGGCGGAGGUGGACGGGUCUGGGAAGUUCAGGUUCCUUGUUUCGACGUUUUCUCCGUCGUGGAGCAGAAUGAUGAUCCGGGACGAGCGACCCGACUUCCUGAGCGUCCAGGUGUCUGUGACCGAACACCUGACAGGUCUGACCUGUAACAAUACAGUGAGCGUCGCUCUGGCUCAAAGCAGAUUCUCCGUUGCCUUUGAAGACUUUCCUAAAGUCCUCAGGCCGUCUCUCAGCUUCAGUGGCACUCUGAAAGUGUCGACGUAUAACGGCGAGCCGCUGCAGGACCAGACGCUCCUCGUGUCGGUGAAGCAGCAGCGGAGCCAAGAGACGUGGGACGAACAGAUUCUUUUCCCAAAGAACAGUUCCGAUUCCUCAUGGAUGAACUGGGACCAGUCGUCCUCAGAGGACAUGGAGCUCCCUGUCCCAGUGGACGGACUGGUCCCCCUGCACAUCCAGGUCCAGAAAGACACACAGAGCCUCACUGUGGAGGUUUCUUUGGAGGACUGUCAGAAGACUCUUUCUGUGGACAGGAGCUUCCGCUCCCAGAGCGGCGCCUACCUGCAGGUCCAGAGACCCUCCUCACCUGCACAGGUCGGGUCCCGUCUUCGGUUGAGGGUUGAGAAGAAUUUUGGGAUUCCUUACGUUCACUACUUGGUGAAGUCCAGAGGUCAGGUGGUUUCUGCUGGGAGUAGCUCAGGUGAUGUGAGUCUGGUUCCUACGGCGUCCUGGGCUCCUCUGGCCUCUGUCGUCGUUUACUGUGUCCAUCCUGGCGGUGAGGUCAUCAAUGAUGUCAUCCAUCUGCCCAUCACACACUUCCUGCAGAAUAAGGUGUCUCUGAGGUGGAGCAGUGACCGGCUGAAGCCGGCGGAGGUCGUGACCCUGAAUGUGUCGGUGGCAGAACCGGACUCUCUGGUCGGGAUCCUGGUGGUCGACAAAGCCACGCGGUGGGCGGGGUCAAACAAUGACUUCACCAUGGAAACGCUGCGGGAGCAGAUGACGGAGUCGUCCAUGAACGACGCCCUCCGUGAUGAGAUGACAAUGGGAGAUCCGUUCUCUGUUUUCCAGACAUGUGACCUGACUGUGAUGACUGACGCCAGCGUGCCCAGAGCGGAUCCAACAUGGCUGCUGCUCACAGAAGAUGAUCCGGGUUUCUUCCUCCAGACGGACGGAGAACAUUUCAGGAAACAACCAGAACCUCACCAGCGCCAGAACUUUCCAGAGACCUGGGUCUGGAUGGACGUCAACACAGGGGAUUCCAACAGGAUGCAGAUUUCUCUGCCGGUUCCUGACAGCAUCACCACCUGGACGGCCUCCGCCUUCGUCAUGACGGAGAAUCUGGGUCUGGGACUCACUGAGAAACCGGCAGAGCUCACAGUGUUCCAGGACUUCUUCCUGUCCCUGAACCUCCCUGCCUACAUCAUCAGAGGAGAGGAGCUGGUUCUGGAGGUGGUUCUGUUCAAUUACCUCCAAGAGGAGCUGGAGGUCACCGUGAUCAUUGCAGAGAGCGACGCCUUCGAGUUUGUGUUCCCGGACAGCGAGGCGGUCGCCAUGGCCAGCGUGCGGCGCCUCCUGGUGGAGCCGGAGGGCGGCGCCACCGUCCUGGUUCCCGUCAGGCCUCUGGUUCUGGGAGACGUCCCCAUCGCCGUGAAGGCCGUGUCCUCAGCGGCGGCCGACUUCGUCCGCACAACCGUCCUGGUUAAGGCUGAAGGUCGUCCUCAGAGCUUCUCCUCCUCCCUCCUCCUGGAUCUUCCUGCCAGCCGCUCCGGUUCCGUGGCGUUCCGGUUCCCUCCAGGCGUGGUGGACGGCAGCCAGCGCGUCUCGGUGACCGCCAUCGGCGACCUGCUGGGCCCGUCCAUCAGCGGUUUGGACUCGCUGGUCCAGAUGCCGUACGGCUGCGGCGAGCAGAACAUGAUCCACUUCGCUCCAAACGUCUACGUCCUGCGGUACCUCAGCACCAGAGGCCCGCUGGACCCGGCGCUGCAGAACCGGGCCAUUGACUACAUGCUGAAAGGUUAUGAGCAGCAGCUGUCCUACCAGCGGGCCGACGGCUCCUUCAGCGCCUUCGGCCAGCAGGACUCGUCAGGCAGCACCUGGCUGACGGCCUUCGUGCUGCGCUGCCUGCUGCAGGCGCGGCCGUGGGUUGGCGUGGACGGCCGGGUUCUGGAGAGCGCGGCGGCGUGGCUGGCGGCACAGAGGGCGGUGGGCGGCGCCGCGGCCGAGCCCGGCACCGUGAUCCACUCGGAGUUGCAGGGCGGCCUGGACGGACCCGUGUCCCUCACCGCAUACGUCCUGGUCGCCCUGCUGGAGGACGCCUACAUCAGGGCGCAGUACGCCUCUCGGGUGACCUCUGCCCUCGCCUACCUGGAGGCCCGGCUGGACCAGGGCGUCUCCAGCAACUACAGCCUGAGCCUGCUGAGCUACGCUCUGGCGCUGGCAGGAAGCCCCGCCUCCCACGCCGCGCUCAACCGUCUGAUUGGCCGAGCUGACCUGAAGGACGGCGUCCCGACCUGGUCGUCGCCUGAUGCUGGCCUGUCGUCGUCAUGGCAACCUCGCUCGGCAGACAUCGAGAUGGCGUCCUACGUUCUGCUUUCGCUCCACCAACUGAACCGGGUCGACGAAGGUCUGAGUCUGAUGAAGUGGCUGAGCCAGCAGAGGAACCACCUGGGAGGAUACGGCAGCACGCAGGACACGGUGGUGGCUCUGCAGGCUCUGUCCACCUUCGCCGCUCUGCAGGGGUCAGAGCGCUCUUACCUGGACGUCACGGUGACCAACGGGGACUCGGACGUCGUCGCCGACUUCCACAUCGACCAGGACAACAUGCUGCUGCUCCAGAGUCGCCAGAUUGAUCCAGAACCGGUUCUGGACCUGCAGGUGACGGCAUCGGGUCACGGAUUCGCUCUUUUCCAGCUCAACGUUUUUUACAACGUCCGCAGCGAGGAGCUGCUGAGGAGGAGGAAGGACGCCGAAGAGCAGGAAGCGUUUGACCUGAAGGUGGCGCUGUUUGAGGAGCAGAACCGGGCUCACCUGUUCAUCUGCACCAGCCUGGCCCGCUACCUGGGUCUGAAUGAGACCGGGAUGGUUCUGAUAGAGGUGGGUCUUCUGAGCGGCUUCAGUGCCCGACCGGACCUGGUACCGCUGGGCGGUGCCUUGAAGCGAGUGGAGACCGAGCCAGGCAGGGCGGUUCUGUACCUGGACUCUGUGUCGACCCAGGAGUCGUGUCUGCUCGUCCCGUUGCUGGUGGAGUUCAAGGUGGCCCGGGUCCAGGAAGCCUCAGUCAGCGUUUACGACUACUACGAGCCACGGCGGAGGACGGUGCGGUCGUACCGAUCGGCUUUGCGGAGCGACGUCUCCUCCUGCUCCUUCUGCGGAGACGACUGCAGCCGAUGCCGAGCAAACAACAACAACUACGAGCUGAACGGCGCAUCGCGCUGCAGCCGCCACUUCCUGCCCGUGCUGCUCCUCCUCUUCGUCAUCUUCAGCGCCUGAAGACCAGGCACAAGCAGCUGGGCGUCCGGCCUGCAGCGGCUUAAAUGAUAACAAUGAAAUUUCUCAGCUCGGCCGCCAGGGGGCAGCCUUGCUUCACAGAGGGACCUUCAUCAUCAUCAUCACCAUCAUCAUCACCUGGUUGUUGAACUCGGUGCAGAA